GUUAUGUUCACUCAUCACCCCUUUGAAGUCAGCUUUGAGUGCUUGGAUUCUGGUUACUUCCAAUCUGUUUUUUAUCUCUCACUUCAGCUGCAUGUACAUAGAUUCAGAGAUGGUGAAAACUGGAAAGGACUUCACAGGUCUUCUAAUCUAGGGCAUCCUCAGUUAACGGAUCAUCAUUGUGAGAUCACUCAACUGGUUACUGCUGCCAGCUCUGCUCUCCAUUAAGUGUCCUUGUUGAGUUUGCCUCCAGUGACAGCUGGAGCAAGAACACAGUCAUCUGGGGCCACAUCUCGCUGACACUGGCUCAGUGACCAGGAUCCUUCCUGUGAGCCAAACCCAACCAGAAGCUGGAGGGAACAGGAGUCAGUUCCAUUAAGAUCAGCCACUGGGGACAGAGAUCCAGGUGGAGAAUGCUGAAGAAAGCAUCUGGAUGUGCAAAGUUUGACCUUCUCUGGACUUUUUGGUCUAUAUGGAAGAAGAAUGGCAGCCAAAGCCAUUGAGUUUUACAUCCUCCCAUCCAAUUAACUGAAGACAGACUGACUCUCUUCUUGGUUCCGUAUAUCCUGAGAAAGACUUAGGACCCAGGUUGGGUCAGGUGCUGCAACCCUGGAUAUUCAGCUGAGGCUGGUAUGUGUGUGUGUGGUACUGUGACGUGUUAUUGUGGCUGCAAGUCUGUGUGUGCUGUCUAGAGUCUAGAGA
rnacentral:lncRNA from 1 species